rnacentral:lncRNA from 1 species
ACUAUGGUGCCCCAACUGACUGCUACAUGUGUUGGGUUCCUAAGCCGGUUACUGACCCUAUGGUGGAUGCUACAGUACUGGAGGUGGAGAAAAAGGUCGUUUCAGAGCCUACUUAUGGAGUUUGGAUGCUUGGAUGACAUAAAGGUUGUUUUCGUGGAAGGAAUUACAUUACCAAUGACUAUUCUCCGAAAGGGUAUUCUGCACCGAUAUCCAAUAAAUUUGAUGUUCUACAUAAUGACUCACCUGACUUCUCUCCUCCAAUGCAGCAAACACAUGUUAUCCCGACUCUACAAGAGACUAGUGAGACCCCUCCUGGGUUGAAUGGAAGGGAGACUAACACCUCGCCGCAAGCUACUGAUGCGGGUGCAAACAAGGUACUCCAUAAUCCCUUGUUUGCCCAAACUACCAACGGAUAUGAUCAGUCCUAAUGGCGAACCGUAUGUUUUGGGGGAUCUGAGAUUGAGUAGCAAUAGCCCUAAAGAUAAAUCCAACCAGAGAAGUAACAACACGAUGGUAAAUUCAAAGAAGGGAGUGGGUAGUUCUACUGUCCCUCCCAAGGUGACGAAGCACAAUCAGAAACCCAAAGAUCUAUGUUUGAAAAACUCAAAUAUUGAUGGUACGGAGAGCCUAUCCCCUUCAGGAAGUAGAUGAGGAUCAUUUGCUAUAACUAUCGCGAAUUGGGGAAUAAGCGUGUAGUUAAAUCUGUGUCCUCUUUAUUACGACAACAUUCUCAUCAGAUAGUUUUUCUAUCAGAAAUAAUGCAAAACAUUGAAAAGAACUCCAAACUUCAAAAGGAGUUAGGUUUUGAUAACAGCCAUUGUUGGUCAAUGGUGGCUUCUAAUCGUAAUCCUUCUGCUGGUUUUAGUGGUUGAUGGAGUAAUGAGGUUCGUCUCGAAAUUAUGUCGAGCUCUCUGCACCAUAU